rnacentral:rRNA from 1 species
UACGGAGGGUGCGAGCGUUGUCCGGAAUCAUUGGGCGUAAAGGGCGCGUAGGUGGCCCGGUCAGCGUGCGGUGAAAGCUCGGGGCUCAACCCCGAGUCGGCCGUGCGAACUGCUGGGCUUGAGCACUGUAGAGGCAGGCGGAAUUCCGGGUGUAGCGGUGGAAUGCGUAGAGAUCCGGAAGAACAUCGGUGGCGAAGGCGGCCUGCUGGGCAGUGGCUGACACUGAGGCGCGACAGCGUGGGGAGCAAACAGG